CGGCGUGGUGCAGGAAGGAGUGAGGGGCCUCACGGGCAGCAUGGGGCUCAUAGCAGCCUCUGUUUCAAAGUUUAAAUCUCUCCAGUGCCUUGCUAGGCAAAUCUGCUUACCGUGGCAAUAAACAGUGAGGCAAGAUGUAACCCGGUGCUGGGCUGCACUCUGACAGAAACAAGUAAAAAUAAUGCUCACUGGAGUCAGGCUCUCUUUAAAGCCUAAGAGAGUUUUGCAGAGGUGUUUUGCAGUGCAUGCAUACUAAUAGCAUUUCAACAGGAAUUUUCACCGAAUGCCCUAAUGCGUGAGAAUAGCAUGCACAUCUGAAAAAUCAACAGCCCACUUCCCCCCACUGGAGGAAAUGGAUUAAGCAGUAUUUUCUGUAGUACAAUGGACCUGACUGAAGGAAUAACAUGGCUUUUGAUAUAUGAUAAUUGUAGGAGACUGACACAAAAAAUAGGCCAAAUAAAGUCCUCAAAGGUACGUAUAUAGAACAUUUUCAAGGCCUGGAAAUAGCUUGUAUACAGAACAUCCUCUUUUUAUUCAGCCAAAAGAAUGUGCUUACACUGCAUAAAGGACAAGGGGUGGGAGUUACAAGUUGCUUCCUGUGAUUAUUUCCAGCCGUAAUCAAUGCAGUACUGAGUUAUUGGUUCUGUAAAGAGCCUGCUCUAUGCUAGCUAUGGAAAAAUAAAAUCCAAAAAGAGGAAGAGAGAGAGAGAAAAAGAAGGAGGGGGGAAGAGAAGGAGCUCAAGAAGGACUGCACUAUUAGAAGCAGAAAAACAGGUUCCUAAAGGAUGAAUUUGAGCUCAGGUAUAUUCUGAGGGAUGAGGAUUGUUGUUUCGAACAGAAUUAAGUGUAUGUAUACUGGUAAUUGAUGCUGAAUGCACAAGGUAAUCAUCCUGUUCUUCAUAAAUGAUGGUGCUUAAUCAUAAGUAAAUUAGACCAUGUCAAUCUUUUAGGAGGCAAUUAAAGCAAUAGACUUUCCAUGGCCUGUUUUCACAUGCAUAGGGACUGAUUUAACUCCCAUCUACCUCUCUUGGGCAUAAGGCUUGCUUUCAGCACAGCUGCAGAUGACUUUUACCACUGUCGAAAGUAACUGACAAGUCCAUAAUACAGAGUACAAAUGUUCUUCAAAAAGAAAAAAAUAUAUAAAUCUGUUUUAAACAGCUAUCAGCCUUUAUUAAAACAACAGUUUGAGUAAAGAACUGAUUCUGUAAGAUUCCUAACAUCUAAUGAUGGAGAAACUGAAAGGUAUUAAUGUUUGUUGCGUGCUUCUAGUAAUAGCAGCUGAAUAACAUUUUUCCCAGCCACCUGGAUCUUCAUUUAGACAUUAUAAGAAACUGUACCUACGUUGCAAACUGGCCUUUUUCUUUCAUUUUCUGCAGUUCAUUUGUAUCCAGUCAGGCUGCAUCAAGAUUCAUUGCAUUUAAUGGGAAAUUCACUCUUCUGGAUCAGAUACCUAUUUUCAAUUUGGACAGUAUCUGAUUCCAAUGGCAGAGGUGACAGAAAUAAAGAGGAGAUGAGAAGCAACUGCCUAUGGUAUAGAUUUCUGCAAUGCUAACACAGCUGCCAGUUUCUGAACCAGUAGGAUUAUCCAGGACUCUCCAGUGUGUCUCCAGAGUCGCAGCCUUCCUAAGGAACCCAUUGCUCCAUAAUGAAGAUCUGCAAAAGUAUUCCUGACAUACAGCUUACAUCAGCAUCAGGCCCACUACUGGUCAGAGCGGGAUCAAGUUCAGGCUCAUUAUCACCCACUGUAUCUUUCUAGCCCCAGCUUGAGCACUUGACUGGGAGAAGAACAGUGGACAGGACUGUAGUGUGAACUUUUUUUAAAAUUAAAAAAUGUAUUGCCUGUGAAAACUUUUUUUUUUUUCGUUUCAAAGUCAUGUCAUGAAGAUGGCAUAUUGAUGGAAUUCAUGUUAGAAAGAACACCUGCACAGAUUUAUCUGUGUCAGGAAUGCUGGUGUUACCAUUUUCCUAACAAGCAGAAAGAAAAAUAGUAUGGUAUCACAGCAUUAAUACUGUAGACUUCUGCUUCAGUUCACACAAAAGCAGUCUGUCCAGACUUAUCUGACCUAUUUGAAUUAUGGCAUAAAUUAGACCUGUGCAGGUUAUCCUUUUCAACUUGCUUACAGGCAUUUGGAAAACAUCAGUUCCUAUAUAUUACUUAAACAAUAAGGAAAAUUUGGGGUCAUCUUUGUCUCCUACGUAUCUUGUCAUUGCACUCAUCUGACAUACUUACCUUGAAGAGCUGACAUUUUGAGAAGAGAAUCAGAAGGGCAGGAAAGAAAGCAUUACUCUGAAUGUGAAAGAACACGCCAGGACAUCUAAGAGAGCCUACUUGUUAGCCUCUAAAGAAACUAUUGAAUCCUGCCCCAGUUUGUUGUGCACCCUAACCAAAUACUUCAUCAGACUUGAGUGACUGUGGCAUGUAAUCAAGCUGAAUGCCGGACAAAACAAGGGAACGAUUCUAGUUUGCCCUACAAGAUCAUGCAUAUUCAGAGGGCUUUCCAAAGGGCAUAGACCUGCGCCUUCCCACUCACUAAUACACAGCUCACCUAUAUUCCCCAAAUUCAGUACUUUCAUUCAUCUCAUCAGAUGAGGAAGCAACAGACACCCUCAAAGUCUCAUCUGAGAUAUGGCCUCUGCCCUUCCUCAGCCUGUUACAGAAAAUGCUCAACAGCUGCUGCCACUCCUGACUGCAGCUGCCAAUGGGAGAUCUGAACAGAGAUCCUCCUCUCUCUGACCAUCUGUUAAUUCUGGGAUGAGGAAAUCUACCUUGUAGACCUUGUUUCUGGCCAGCUGGCAUCCAGUCUUGUAACUCUGACUUUAUCAAGAAGAUAGCAAAAGCCAACUUCAGGGCUGCUUGAGUAGGCUUCAUAGAAGUUUUCCAGUCAAGAGAUAGAUGAACAUCAUAUUCAAAAAUAAAGUUAUAUCUAAUUAGAAAACACUCUUUAACUAACCUUGAGAUGCUCUAUGAAAACAGAGCAAGUUUGACCAAACUUUGGGUGAACAGUCAGUGAUCUUUUAAAGAACUACAUCUGGUGAAUUGCACUGGAUGCUGAAGAAUCCACAAUCCCAGCCCUGCUUUAAUAUAUUUUCUGGACUCUGCCAAUUAAAAUCCAGAGGAGUCAUCUGGGACCAACAGAUCCUGGAUUCCCUUUUUCUACAACAGAUCCUGUAAACCUCAUAGGGCUGUGGCUGCUGCCAAGGUCCAUGCACCUGCAGACUUUUUCCAUCAUGUCUUCCACGGCAGUGUUUGGCAGGAGCCUUGAGAGACACCUCCCCACCGGGUCCAUCCCACGCUAGGCUUGGUGCCAGGCACUCCAAGUCCUAUCAGGCCCAUGGCAGUCCACUGCUCCUGACAGGCUGGAAAUGACUGGCAUGCUUGUCAGCUUUUCCUCUGCUCUGCAGACACCAGUUUUUCUGAGUAAUGUUUUCUUUCAUCUGGGCUGAACUGGGAGAGCCUGCCAUCUGGCAGGUGGUGACAUACCCUCAAUCAUUUACAUCUUCCUCAUUUCUUGGCUGGGCUGCAGCAGUGUGAUACACGCUGGAAAAACCAAGCAGCAGCAAACACUACAUCAUUUCCUCAGCAUCCAGUUGCAGGCUCUGAGCACACCCAUGUACUUUGCAAUUUUCAACCUGGGUGUAAGGAUGACAGAAAGGAGACAGAGGACAAAAGAGGUGGAAGACUGUGCCCAGGUGACCAACCAUUCUGAGAUGAGAGUCUGGGAGUGAAAUAGGAGAUUCUUGAAGUAUAGACAAUUUUGCUGAUAAUAUCAGUGAAUCUUAUUUGGAACUGCUGCUUCCUAUGCCCAAGUCAGCUAAUGUCUGAUGCAUGCAAGCGCACUCCUCUUCAGAUCAAGUUGUUUCUUAGAAGUGCUUUCAUUUUGAAAUGGGAAAGCAGCUGUCUUUUUUAAAAAAGUUAAAAUAUUAAUUUGUUUUCAAGCAUUUACACUGCUUGCUUAUUUUCCGCACUUCUCAUAGCUUUGGGAGAACUCUGUUUUACUCUUUUUAUCGAUUCUCUACAUGUUGUACUCUUCUGCCAGUGGGCUGGGAAGAGAACACUGUAUGGUACCAUUUGUAUUUUAAAAUAAAUUAAUAUUUGUCUUGGAAAAAUAAACUGUGGAGAA
ensembl:lncRNA